rnacentral:rRNA from 1 species
CAGCCGCCGCGGGAAUACGUAGGGUGCGAGCGUUAAUCGGAAUUACUGGGCGUAAAGCGUGCGCAGGCGGUUCGUUAAGACAGAUGUGAAAUCCCCGGGCUUAACCUGGGAACUGCAUUUGUGACUGGCGGGCUAGAGUAUGGCAGAGGGGGGUAGAAUUCCACGUGUAGCAGUGAAAUGCGUAGAGAUGUGGAGGAAUACCGAUGGCGAAGGCAGCCCCCUGGGCCAAUACUGACGCUCAUGCACGAAAGCGUGGGGAGCAAACAGGAUUAGAUACCCGCGUAGUCCCUGUCUCUUAUAA